rnacentral:rRNA from 1 species
UUAAGCAUAUCAAUAAGCGGAGGAAAAGAAACUAACAAGGAUUCCCCUAGUAGCGGCGAGCGAAGCGGGAAGAGCUCAAAUUUAUAAUCUGGCACCUUCGGUGUCCGAGUUGUAAUCUCUAGAAAUGUUUUCCGCGUUGGACCGCACACAAGUCUGUUGGAAUACAGCGGCAUAGUGGUGAGACCCCCGUAUAUGGUGCGGACGCCCAGCGCUUUGUGAUACAUUUUCGAAGAGUCGAGUUGUUUGGGAAUGCAGCUCAAAUUGGGUGGUAAAUUCCAUCUAAAGCUAAAUAUUGGCGAGAGACCGAUAGCGAACAAGUACCGUGAGGGAAAGAUGAAAAGCACUUUGGAAAGAGAGUUAACAGUACGUGAAAUUGUUGGAAGGGAAACGCUUGAAGUCAGACUUGCUUGCCGAGCAAUCGGUUUGCAGGCCAGCAUCAGUUUUCCGGGAUGGAUAAUGGUAGAGAGAAGGUAGCAGUUUCGGCUGUGUUAUAGCUCUCUGCUGGAUACAUCUUGGGGGACUGAGGAACGCAGUGUGCCUUUGGCGGGGGUUUCGACCUCUUCACACUUAGGAUGCUGGUGGAAUGGCUUUAAACGACCCGUCU